rnacentral:lncRNA from 1 species
GCAAACGGAGAAGCCCUUCGCUGCAGCCAAUUAUUGAGGGUGAAACUGCUUCCUUCUUCAAGGAGAUAAAGGAACAAGAGGAGGGAUCAGAAGAUGACAGCUCCACAAAGCCCGACUUCACUGUCACUCUGAAAACAGACAGCAGUGCACAUUGCUUUCUGGACCAACUUGAAGAUGACGCCGAUGGAUUUAUUUCACCAAUGGAUGACAAAAUGCCAUCGAAAUGCAGCCAGGACUCAGGCCUUUCAAACCUCCACUCUGCUUCAAUACCUGAACUCUUGGAAUACCUUCAGGAAAUAAGAGAAGAAAAGAAAAUGAUUCGAAAGAAACUUCAUGAUUUUGAAGACAAUUUUUUCAGACAAAAUGGGAGAAAUGUCCAGAAGGAAGACCGUACUCCAAUGGCUGAAGAAUACAAUGAAUAUAAGCACAUAAAGGCGAAGCUACGUUUGCUGGAGGUGCUCAUCAGCAAAAGAGACGCUGAUUCCAAAUCCAUGUGAAAGGCUGGUGGUGUGGAUGACAGUUCUCCCAGAAAAGAACAGCUCUGGAAGGCAGCAGCCUUGGAGCUGUACUUACAAAGAAGGCAAUCCCCUGCCUCUGACCUAUCAGAUUGUCUCCGGCUUCCAUUGCCUGCCUUAGAAACUGCCUGCAUGGAA